AUUUAUAAGCGAGUUGCAAGGUGCCUAUUCAAGGCUUGAAAGGGAAUCUGGUGAAAGCCCAGAACUGUCCCCGCAACUGUAAGUGUGGACGAAAUGAGAGGUUCCACUGUGCUAAAAAAGCAUGGGAAGGUCUCAGAGUAGGAAGAUGCACGAGUCAGGAGACCUGCCUGCACUCGCUAAAAGUU
rfam:Pontibacillus chungwhensis BH030062 contig14, whole genome shotgun sequence.